CCCGCCGUAGCUCAGCGGCAGAGCGCCCGGCUGUAGACCGGGUGGUCCGGGGUUCGAUUCCCCGCGGCGGGACCA
rnacentral:tRNA from 1 species